rnacentral:rRNA from 1 species
CUACGGGCCGCUCCAGUGGGGAAUAUUGCACAAUGGGCGCAAGCCUGAUGCAGCCAUGCCGCGUGUAUGAAGAAGGCCUUCGGGUUGUAAAGUACUUUCAGCGGGGAGGAAGGGAGUAAAGUUAAUACCUUUGCUCAUUGACGUUACCCGCAGAAGAAGCACCGGCUAACUCCGUGCCAGCAGCCGCGGUAAUACGGAGGUGCAAGCGUUAAUCGGAAUUACUGGGCGUAAAGCGCACGCAGGCGGUUUGUUAAGUCAGAUGUGAAAUCCCCGGGCUCAACCUGGGAACUGCAUCUGAUACUGGCAAGCUUGAGUCUCGUAGAGGGGGGUAGAAUUCCAGGUGUAGCGGUGAAAUGCGUAGAGAUCUGGAGGAAUACCGGUGGCGAAGGCGGCCCCCUGGACGAAGACUGACGCUCAGGUGCGAAAGCGUGGGGAGCAAACAGGAUUAGAUACCCCAGUAGUC